rnacentral:rRNA from 1 species
GACGAACGCUGGCGGCGUGCCUAAUACAUGCAAGUCGAGCGGACAAAGCGGAGUUUUCUCCUCGAUGUUAGCGGCGGACGGGUGAGUAACACGUGGGUAACCUGCCUGUAAGACUGGGAUAACUUCGGGAAACCGGAGCUAAUACCGGAUAAUGCUUUUGAACUCAUGUUCGAAAUCUGAAAGAUGGUUUCGGCUAUCACUUACAGAUGGGCCCGCGGCGUAUUAGCUAGUUGGUGAGGUAACGGCUCACCAAGGCAACGCCGGGUAGCCGACCUGAGAGGGGGGUAGCCCGCACUGGAACGGAGACAGGGCCAAGACUCCUGCGGGAGGGAGCAGUAGGGAACGUUCGGCAAUGGACGGAAGUAUGACGGAGCGACGCCACGUGAGUGAUGAAGGUGUUCGGAGCGUGAAGCUCUGUUGUGAGGGAAGAACAGGUACCGGAGGAACUGACGGUUCCGUGACGGUAACGAGCCAGAAAGCAACGGCUAACUACGUG